AAGAGAUCAAUUCAUACCCUUUGCAUUCUGGUGGCAGGCGGUGGCAGUUGUGACGUUUCAGCUUACUACUUGAUCCAAGCUUCUCCGAAGAAAUUCCGCUCGCCACUGAAAACACAAGAUGACAAUCUUCAAACCCCCUCCGGGCUAGUACAGUGGUAACGUGUCGGCCUCUCAUCCGAGGGGCCAGCGGUUCGCGCCCCGCCCAGGCGCGAGAUGUAGUGAGCUGACGCCUCAGCUUCCUACUUGCCGCUCUCGCCCCUGUGUCAGGCUUCGUAACAGAUUUCUUACUAGUCCCCUUCCCCCUGACUAUCCCUGGCGCCUGGCCGUGACGGACGAUAAUAGAUGGCGCAGAAGGCGACGCUGCAGAGGACCUGCCUGCAGAAGACGCUGACGAGCGAACGUGGACACCUUGGACGAGAUGCUGCAGUCCUUACAGAGGAGGAGGAUGACAUGAUUUUGUAUACCAACUUUCAGCCCGGAAACACCUGGAGUAACGCUGCAAACAACGUAUUUCUGAAAGCUGGCGACAGAAAACGGUGUACAGUUGUUUGGCGCCAAAGCCUGGUUGGCCAGCCAGCGUAAUUUUAUUUCCUUUUAUAUUCAAAACCUUGUAUAUAGUUUAUUUUCCUUUUAUUUAUAUAAAAAAUGUCAUAUGUUUCUAUUAAAGACCUCCUCUGCAAAUACCAACUGAAAAGAGCAAUCACACAAUAACUAAGAUUAAAGCUGUAACGUCUCAAGGAGCAGACGACAUUCUUAAGAAUAACGAGUCUUGCUGCGAACUUGGCGCACGACCUUGUUCGUAUAAAAGGUCGGGUCAACGACCUUGUAGAGGGUUGCGCACACAUUGGCUCUGUGAACUACGCUCGGUCUUUCCUUCAGAAAGCUAGCGUUUUUAACGAACUUAUUAUAUUCAUUUUGGAUUUAUUUUUACCCUUGGAUUUUACGAAGGAUUUACGAAACUGAGGUGUAAUAGCGGUUUUUUAAAGGUAUUGUUUUCCUGUUUUUAUUAAGAUUGCUCUUUUUUCAUGGAGGUUUUAGUUGUGUAUUGUUUUUAUGGCUUAAUAAUAAUAAUUUAAUGAA